UGAAAUCUAUGAAUCCUCUCUCGUGCAUACUGAAUGAUAAUAGGCUCACUGGGCCUAAGUUUUCGGACUGGCUUCGUAACCUGAACAUUGUCCUGAACAUGAAGGCUUUGCGAUACAUUCUGAAGACUCAGGAGAUUGAACUCCCUGGCGGGGAUGAUAUGAGUGAUCAGCAGGACGCAUAUGAUCAGUGGUAUGUUGAUGACACGAAGGUCCGCUGCUAUAUGCUUGCUUCCAUGAGCAAUGAGUUGCAGAAGCAACAUGAGAACAUGAAGAGUUCUCGUGAGAUCUUGAAGAAUCUCAAGGAGCCAUAUGGGGAGAAUAGCAUGACCGCACGAUAUGAGAUAUCGAAGGAAUUGUUUCGUGCAAGAAUGCAGGAGGGAACUGAAGUCGCAACUCAUGUGCAGAAGAUGAUCAGGCUGAUUCAGUAGCUUGAGAAACUUGAGUUCCAGAUGGAUAAAGAACUCCAUAUGGAUUUAGUUCUUCAGUCUCUCCCAGAUUCUUUCUCAGGGUUCAUUGUGAAUUUUCACAUGAACAAGUUAUCAUGUUCGUUGUCUGAGCUGCUGAACAUGUUGGUCACUGCACAAAAUGCAAUGAACAACAAAAGGAAGGAUAAGAAAUUCAUUCUUGUGGCUAGUACUUCUUCUAGUAAGACUGGGAAGAAGAAAAAGAAGUCCAAGAAAGGCUCUGUUCCUCAGUAGCCAGUAGGGGUGACCAAGAAAAAGGGCAAGGCAAAGGUUGCUGUGGAUAAGGGAACUUGUUUCCACUGUGGUAAGGAUGGACAUUGGAAGAGGAACUGUUCCUAGUACCUCGCCUCGUUGAAGGCAAACAAGGGAAAGAAACCUUCAGAAGGAACUAGCAAGCAGUAGAGUCCUCAGAAGGAACGAGGUUUGCCUUAAGAUAUGCAAUGGAGCAAGUGUUGCGGCCAAAGCGGUGGGGUCGACUUCGUUACAUCUAGAUGGACAUGUUUUAUUUCUAGAUCAUGUUUUAGUUUUACCAAAUAUCUAUCGGAACAUUAUUUCUGUUUCUAGUUUGACUAGGAGUGGAUAUUUGUUUGAUUUCAAGCAUGAUGUUUGUGACAUUUAUUAUGGUAAUAAACUUAUUGGCGUUGGUUAUUUA